GCGCUUGUGGCGGAAUUGGUAGACGCGCCAGACUUAGGAUCUGGUGACUCACUGUCGUGAAGGUUCGAGUCCUUUCAGGCGCA
rnacentral:tRNA from 1 species